UUUUAAAUUGUGAAAAAUAAUGCAAUUUAGCGCAAGAUAAAAUGCUCAUUUUCUUCUUUAUUGUUAAUAUUAUUUUAUUUUUAAGAGAGCAUUUUGUCUGACUAGCAUCUCAUUGACCCCCAAUUUAAAUGCUUUUAAACCAAAUGGAAAAGAUUAAAAAGAAAACUUGCAUGCAUGCACUUGAAACGACAAUCCACAUUAUCCAUCCGUUUCGCAACGAGCCAUAAUUGAUACCAAUAAAAUAAUCAAUAAGGCUAUUGAAAACGUCUGCUUUAGCGCAGUCGCUUUGGCUGCAGCAGCCAUACUGGUUCAGCUCAUUGAUCUUAUCCAAUAAGAAUAAAUACGCCUGAAAUGUGCAACGCUGUUUGCUCUGUUGUUGUUUUGUGGAAGGGUGUGUGUGUGUGUGUGUGUGUGUGGGGGGGGGGGGGGGGGUCCUGAAAAGACUGUAAAAACAGACAACAACAAAAGAGGAGGAAGUGGACGGUGCAAUAAAAGUCUUCAUUCACCCUUUCCCGACCAUAUGUGGCAUCCGCGCGAGGCACAGAUUGAAGGUAAACAAAGCAAUGAAAGUUAUUUCUGCUUGGCCUAAUAUAUAUAUAUAUAUAUUUUAUAAUCAGAAAUGACAUCGUCUCAUCCGGAGCUUAAAAGCACAGAAAAAAAAACAAAUCUAUCACGAAUUGCGGAAAUUGUUAUGCUAACAUUUUUCCUAAAUACAAUUUAAAUUCUUAAUCCGCAUUUUAGAAUCGGGAUUUGAGUAAUACGAAUUAAUAACACGACAAAGGAAAAGCUGUGCCUGCUUCAUAUGACAUUCUUGAUUUGUCAUGGUCACUAUAACAGAGGCAUAAUGACGUGUGUAGAGAGUUACCAAACGAAAUUUCGUUCGGUGUGAACACAGAAAGGCAAUUCCUGAUUAUGGAUCCGUAGGCGCAUUUAAUUGUAUUAUUACGUUUUUUCCUGCUUUCAGUUGCCAAUAAAAAUCCAUUAAAUAACUAUAUAUUUAAAAAGUCAAAAAUAUUUCUUCUGAGACUGUUUUGGUUCGUCAGCUACGCUGCUUUUCCCCUCCUGUCUCAUUGUUGCUCACACACAAACAGGAAAAACACGCCGGUCCAUGGAGUCGAAGGCUGUAAAUUAAAAGGCUUGAACAGUGGAGCCAAUGUGUGGACUGGAAUGCAGCAGAGGUUGUGUCAGUGUGCAGAAUCAGAAAGGUCAUUCUUCCCCCAGAGUUUUAGUGUUUUAUUGCGGCCCGUAAGGCAAAUCACAUGCAUUUGGGAUGGACGGUGGGAGGACGCCGUUUGGUCCAGGUUUCUUUUUCAAAGAUUUCUUUUUUAAAGGGACUUUUGGAGUGAACUCGAAUGCGCAAAGAAGGUCAAAGAGGAGUAAAAUGUAUAGUCCAAUUUUCCACUGGAUUGUCAUUUAAACAUAAAUUAAAAUAUUCUGUUUAUUUGUGAUUAUGCAGACUGGGUGUUACUGUAAUUUUGAAAUUCCUAUUGGGCCAUUUUUACCCGAGGAUUUGACCACUUCCUGGAUGUUUUCAGGCCUAAUUCCUCUUGCAAAACAAUCCCCACCCCUCUACAUCAGAGAACCUACAGCUUUGCUUUUGCUCACUUGCAGACAGAACCGACUUUCUAACGUCACAACAUAACUCAGCAUUAGCUACACGGGACUUUUAAAAUUCCUACAUUAUCAGCCAUGAUUAAAAACACAGCGAGACAGAGCCGGGCAGCAGCAGGACACGAUCCACGGCACCAGCAAUGUUUCAUAAGAAGAAACAAGCAAACAACGAAUGUAACAGUAAGAAACCACCAAAAGGAAGAGCAGAUCUCUCAAGUGGAAAAAUUAUAACAACAAAUCAGACGCCGGAAAACACUCCUUUGUGGAAGCCAGCCUCACUGAACAGCUACAUGCAGCGGUCUAUCAGCUGGGUCAGCUCACAUCCGCAGUAACCCUCCGCCGAAAACCAGCAGCUGUAAACAACAAGCCUCAACACCCGCCCACGUAUGCAUCCGUUUCUGGGCACCAGGGGGCACUGCUGGGACCUUUCUUUUUUAUGAUCCACAUAUUUUACACUCAAUAUGCAUAUGUGCGUAUGUGUAUGUUAAUGACACAAAAGUGCGUGGGUUGGCUCAUAGAUUGUACUCAGUCGCUAAACAUGUGGCAAUAACUGUGCGAGCAGGAGAUAAUUAGAAGAGCUCAGCCAGCUCUGAGUGUAAUUCGUCAGAGAAUGGUCAGAAGGGCCUAUGAGUGAUGAGAAAGUUAAGUAUCAUGGAGCUGUUUAUCACAACAGACCGAGUACAGCACUUCUAAAAUGCUCCCUCAACGCAGAGCAGAUCAGCCGGCAGGCUUACACACACGCAGGUGCGCCCACCAGUGAGGAGUAUCAUGACAAGCGCUCCGGGCAUCUGCAGGUCAGGUCAACUAUACACAGAAUGGACACCAUCAACUUCUGUGAUCUUACAUGCUCUAUCAUUUUUCACCGUUUCAGCCCAACAGCAGCAACAAUAACACCAAAAAGCAAGAUAAAAACAUAAAGAAGAGUG